rnacentral:misc_RNA from 1 species
GAAAAUAAUAAAUCAGAAUCCAGCUUGUCGGCACAUAAUUUUAUAGUGAAUUUCCGAAUUCUCAAUCCGAUCAACAAGAUGGAACUAUCCUGCACAUAAAAAUCUUCCAAAUUAAACCCUUUUAAUUUCUUUCUCGAUCUUUGUUCCUUCACGGCUAUAAUCCUCCGCGAUUGCUCCCAUGGCGGCACCGUUUUUCUCCACUCCAUUUCAACCUUACGUUUAUCAAACUCAGCAAGAUGCCGUGAUACCUUUCCAGAUUUUGGGU